ACCCGCGCAUUCUCAAACUCAACUAGUAGUUUCUCAGGGUUUGUCACAAACUGAGGUGAGAUGUAACCUCUGUCAAUCUCCAUUCCUUCUUCAACUUCGACCGUAGUCUCAAAAGAGGAAGAAGAUUCAAUGGACAAAACACCAUCAGGUCCAACUUUGUCAAUGGCAUCAGCAAUCAUUGUUCCCACAAGCUCAUCAUUUCCAGCUGAGAUUGUAGCCACGGCUGGAAAAACAAAAAAAAACAAAAGCACAAUGUUAACAAACAGUUUUGACAAUCAACAUUGGACUAAGGAAAAAAAUUAGUACCUUUGAUGUCACUACCACCUUUGACAGGUCUAGCUUUCUUCUCAAGCUCUUCAAUCAAAGCUUGAACAGUCUUGUCGAUUCCCCUCUUGAGGGACACAGGAUUGGCACCAGAAGUGACACUCAAUAAUCCGUGUUUGAUUAUUUCCCUAGCAAGGACAGAUGCAGUUGUUGUCCCAUCACCAGCUGAGUCAUUAGUCUUACUAGCAACCUUUCUCCACACAACAAACGCACCAAAUCAAUCCACCAUUAACAGAAAUAACAACAAAAGUUAAAAAAAAAAAAAACUCUCUCACACACACACACACUAACCUCACGGAUAAGCGCUGCACCUGCAUUCUCCAUGGCAUCAGGUAACUCAAUAGCCCUGGCAAUGGUGACUCCGUCAUUCACAACCUUGGGGCUUCCAAAUUCAUCCAACACAACAUUUCUCCCUUGAAAAGAGAUUUCAACAAGGUUAAGACAAAAGAGAGAUACAACAGACAUUGAGAUUGUAAUGAUACCUCUAGGGCCAAGAGUGAGACCAACAGCAUCAGCAAGCUUGUCGAUACCAGCUUGAAGAGCAGCUCUUGAGCUCUGGUCGAAAGAGAUUUCCUUUACAUUUGCUCUGACACUGAAACGUCUCGAAGCAGCGUUCUGAAGCGCACAUCUCGUCACUUUAGCUGGAUCAAUCACUCCAGCUUCCAACAGAUUCUCAUAUGUAUCAGUCAUGGCGUUGUACCCUAUCUCCCACUCGCUGAACAUAAUCUUCUCCACAACAACUUCUCCUUCUAUUCCAGCGUUCUGAGCAAUAAGCGCAGCUGGUGCCACCAAAGCCUGUAUUCAAAAACAUAAGAUUCAUCCAUAUAAAAGCCGAAUGUUAAAAACUGAUGAAUCUCUUUACCUUCUGUACUAUGUCAGCUCCCAAACGCUCAUCACCAUCCUCCAGCUUCUCCUUAAUAGCAGGAAUCACAGUUGAUAGAUGCACCAGCGUGGCACCGCCGCCAGGAACUAUCCCUUCUUCGAUUGCAGCAAAUGUAGCGUUCUUCGCGUCCUCGAUACGAAGCUUACGGUCCUCGAGCUCAGUCUCAGUCGCCGCUCCGACUUUAAUAACGGCAACACCGCCUGAGAGCUUGGCGAUUCUCUCGGCGAGCUUCUCCGAGUCGUACACGGAGUCAGUCUCUGACAGCUCCUUCUUAAGCUGGGAGAUACGAGCUUGCAGCUCGUCCUUGGAAGCCGCAUCAGCUAUAAGCGUGGUCGAGUCUUUGCUAAUAGUUACUUUCCUAGCGAUCCCCAACUGAUCUAUGGUCGUGUUCUCCACCAGAAGGCCCAUGUCGAGGGCCUGGUACUCGGCCCCCGUCAAGAUGGCAAUGUCCUGAAGCAUAGCUUUUCUUCUUUCACCAAACCCUGGAGCCUUGACGGCGACCACGUUGAGCACGCCGCGGAGUUUGUUCACGACGAGGGUCGCCAGGGCCUCGCCGGUGACAUCCUCCGCGAUGAUGAGCAACGGAGCUCGGAGCUGAGUGGUUUUCUCCAGGAUCGGGAUGAUGUCUUUGAUCGCAGUGAUCUUCUGAUCGGUGAUCAGCACGCGCGCGUUCUCGAACUCGACUAGGAGCUUCUCAGGGUUUGUAACAAACUGUGGUGAGAUGUAACCUCUAUCAAUCUGUAAUUCGCAAACACAUUGGCAAAGCAAAUUAGGGUUGAAUAGCUAAGAAAAAAUACCAAUGUUCAAGAAAUCGUUAGGCUGCGGUUAGACACUUAAUUGUUUAGGCGGGAGAUAAACCGAUUUUUUUUUUUUUAAAUUUGCCGACUAGACGGGCGCCUAAACGCUACCUAGGCCAAUUUUUUAGAACACUGAUAAAUACUAAACAAAUUCAUACCUCCAUUCCUUCUUCAACUUCGACGGUAGUCUCAAAGGAGGAAGAAGAUUCAAUGGACAAAACACCAUCAGGUCCAACUUUGUCAAUGGCAUCAGCAAUCAUUGUUCCCACAAGCUCAUCAUUUCCAGCAGAGAUUGUAGCCACGGCU
rnacentral:lncRNA from 1 species